GGGUCUCGGGUGAGGGUCACAGGUGAGGGUCACAGGUGAGGGUCACAGGUGAGGGGUCACAGGUGGCAGGGGCUCGUUAGGCUCAUUAGGGCUCGUUAGGGCUCAUUUGGGCUCAUUAGUAAGGAGGAGCUCUGGGGUCAGCAAGUGAGGGUCACAGGUGGCUGGGGCUCGUUGGGCUCAUUAGGGCUCGUUAGUGCUCAUUUGGGCUCAUUAGUAAAGAGGAGCUCUGGGGUCAGCAAGUGAGCGUCACAGGUGGCAGGGGCUCAUUAGGCUCAUUAGUGCUCAUUUGGGCUCAUUAGUAAGGAGGAGCUCUGGGGUCAGCAGGUGAGGGGUCACAGUGAGGGGUCAGCAGGUGGCAGGGGCUCAUUAGGCUCAUUAGUGCUCAUUUGGGCUCAUUAGAGCUCAUCGGCGCUCAUUAGGAGGGAGGAGCUCCAGGGCCAGCAGGUGACGGUCACAGGUGGCAGGAGCUCAUUAGACUCAUUAGGGAUAAUUAUGGCUCAUUAGGAGGGAGGAGCUCCAGGGUCACAGGUGAGGGGUCAGCAGGUGGCAGGGGCUCGUUAGGCUCAUUAGUGCACAUUAUUGCUCAUUAGUGCUAAUUAGCGCUCAUUUGGGCUCAUUAAGCUCAUUGGUGCUCAUUAGUACUAAUUAGCGCUCAUCAGGAGGAAGGAGCUCAGCAGGAGGGGACCCCGAGCUUGGGGUGCCGGGGGCUCGUUAAGGCGAUGGGCAGCUCGUUAGUGCUCAUUAAUUGAUAGGGGCUCAUUAAGGUGAUGGGCAGCUUAUUAGUGCUCAUUAAUGCUCAUUAAUUGAUGGGGGCUCGUUAAGGUGAUGGGCAGUGUAUUAAUGCUCAUUAAUUGAUGGGAGCUCGUUAAGGCAAUGAGCAGCUCAUUAAUGCUCAUUAACGCUCAUUAAUUGAUGGGGGCUCGUUAGGGCGAUGGGCAGCUUGUUAAUGCUCAUUAAUGCUCGUUAAUUGAUGGGGGCUCGUUAAGGUUUGUUGGGUGCUGGGGGACCCCAAGGUAGAGGUUAAUGAGGUCAGAGGUUAAUGAGGUGGGCAGGGUUAACGAGGUUAAUGAAAGGUUAGUGAGGUUAAUGAAGGGUUAAUGCGGUUAACGAGGGGUUAAUUAGGAGCUCAGAGGUUAAUGAAGGGCUAACGAGGCUAACAAGGGGUUAAUGAAGGGCUCAGAGGUUAAUGAAGGCUAACGAGGGGUUAACGAGGCGUUAAUUAGGCUAAUUAGGGACCCCCGAUGUACAUAUUUUGUAGGGGGGGAGGGGCCGGGCGGUUUUUCCCCAUUUGGGGCCAAUAAAAGCGGAUUUGGUAACGA